UAGAGUUUGAUCCAUGGCUCAGAACGAACGCUAGCGGCGUGCUUAACACAUGCAAGUCGCACGAGAAAUCCCGGGCAACUGGGAGAGUAAAGUGGCGAACGGGUGAGUAGCACGUGGGUAAUCUACCCUGAAGCUGGGAAUAACACCUCGAAAGGGGUGCUAAUACCCAAUAACAUCCCCGGGACCCCGGUCCUGAGGAUCAAAGAUGGCUGAGGCUUGCAAGCUAUUGCUUUAGGAUGAGCCCGCGCACCAUUAGCUAGUUGGUGGGGUAACGGCCCACCAAGGCCGUGAUGGUUAGCUGGUCUGAGAGGAUGGCCAGCCACACUGGAACUGAGAUACGGUCCAGACUCCUACGGGAGGCAGCAGUGAGGAAUCUUGCGCAAUGGGGGCAACCCUGACGCAGCAACGCCGCGUGAGUGAUGAAGGCCUUCGGGUCGUAAAGCUUCUGUCAGAUGGGAAGAAAGUUCCGGGCGUGAACAAUUCCCUGG
rnacentral:rRNA from 1 species